rnacentral:ribozyme from 1 species
CACACAUUUGCUCUGUAAUGGGAUGGGAUCCGAAGCCCUCCGAGGGAUAACAUAGGCUCUCCCAUCCAACUCCUAUUCUGACACGUCCUCGUCGUGUAGAGUGGUAACAUGUGCCUCCAUAUAUCCUAGCUUGGGUACAC